AGUCGAGGGGUAUUGGGGGCUUGCUUCCAGAGACCGGCGCACGGGUGCGUAACGCGUAUGCAAUCUACCUUUUACAGGGGAAUAGCCCAGAGAAAUUUGGAUUAAUGCCCCAUGGUAUAUAUGAAUCGCAUGGUUUGUAUAUUAAAGUCACAACGGUAAAAGAUGAGCAUGCGUCCCAUUAGUUAGUUGGUAAGGUAACGGCUUACCAAGACGAUGAUGGGUAGGGGUCCUGAGAGGGAGAUCCCCCACACUGGUACUGAGACACGGACCAGACUCCUACGGGAGGCAGCAGUGAGGAAUAUUGGUCAAUGGGCGCAAGCCUGAACCAGCCAUGCCGCGUGCAGGAUGACGGUCCUAUGGAUUGUAAACUGCUUUUGUACGGGAAGAAACAGCUCUUCGUGAAGAGCCUUGACGGUACCGUAAGAAUAAGGAUCGGCUAACUCCGUGCCAGCAGCCGCGGUAAUACGGAGGAUCCAAGCGUUAUCCGGAAUCAUUGGGUUUAAAGGGUCCGUAGGCGGCCCGGUAAGUCAGUGGUGAAAUCUCCCCGCUCAACGGGGAAACGGCCAUUGAUACUGCCGGGCUUGAAUUACCAGGAAGUAACUAGAAUAUGUAGUGUAGCGGUGAGAUGCUUAGAGAUUACAUGGAAUACCAAUUGCGAAGGCAGGUUACUACUGGUAUAUUGACGCUGAUGGACGAAAGCGUGGGUAGCGAACAGGAUUAGAUACCCUGGUAGUCCACGCCGUAAACGAUGGAUACUAGCUGUUGGACUGCAAGGUUCAGUGGCUAAGCGAAAGUGAUAAGUAUCCCACCUGGGGAGUACGUUCGCAAGAAUGAAACUCAAAGGAAUUGACGGGGGCCCGCACAAGCGGUGGAGCAUGUGGUUUAAU
rnacentral:rRNA from 1 species